AGUUCAGAUUGCAGGCUGCAACCCGCCUGCAUGAAGUCGGAAUUGCUAGUAAUCGCGGAUCAGCAUGCCGCGGUGAAUACGUUCCCGGGCCUUGUACACACCGCCCGUCACACCAUGGAAGCCGGUAAUACCCGAAGUCAGUAGCUUAACCUUUUAGGAGGGCGCUGCCGAAGGUAGGAUUGGUGACUGGGGUGAAGUCGUAACAAGGUACC
rnacentral:rRNA from 1 species